ACAUGCAAGUCGAGCGGACAGAUGGGAGCUUGCUCCCUGAUGUUAGCGGCGGACGGGUGAGUAACACGUGGGUAACCUGCCUGUAAGACUGGGAUAACUCCGGGAAACCGGGGCUAAUACCGGAUGGUUGUUUGAACCGCAUGGUUCAAACAUAAAAGGUGGCUUCGGCUACCACUUACAAAUCGACCGGCGGCGCAUUAGCUAGUUGGUGAGGUAACGGCUCACCAAGGCAACGAUGCGUAGCCGACCUGAGAGGGUGAUCGGCCACACUGGGACUGAGACCCGGCCCAGACUCCUACGGGAGGCAGCAGUAGGGAAUCUUCCGCAAUGGACGAAAGUCUGACGGAGCAACGCCGCGUGAGUGAUGAAGGUUUUCGGAUCGUAAAGAUCUGUUGUUAGGGAAGAACAAGUACCGUUCGAAUAGGGCGGUACCUUGACGGUACCUAACCAGAAAGCCACGGCUAACUACGUGCCAGCAGCCGCGGUAAUACGUAGGUGGCAAGCGUUNUCCGGAAUUAUUGGGCGUAAAGGGCUCGCAGGCGGUUUCUGAAGUCUGAU
rnacentral:rRNA from 1 species